GAUGAACGCUGGCGGCGUGCCUAAUACAUGCAAGUCGAGCGAACAGAUAAGGAGCUUGCUCCUUUGACGUUAGCGGCGGACGGGUGAGUAACACGUGGGUAACCUACCUAUAAGACUGGAAUAACUCCGGGAAACCGGGGCUAAUGCCGGAUAACAUUUAGAACCGCAUGGUUCUAAAGUGAAAGAUGGUUUUGCUAUCACUUAUAGAUGGACCCGCGCCGUAUUAGCUAGUUGGUAAGGUAACGGCUUACCAAGGCUACGAUACGUAGCCGACCUGAGAGGGUGAUCGGCCACACUGGAACUGAGACACGGUCCAGACUCCUACGGGAGGCAGCAGUAGGGAAUCUUCCGCAAUGGGCGAAAGCCUGACGGAGCAACGCCGCGUGAGUGAUGAAGGUCUUCGGAUCGUAAAACUCUGUUAUUAGGGAAGAACAAAUGUGUAAGUAACUGUGCACGUCUUGACGGUACCUAAUCAGAAAGCCACGGCUAACUACGUG
rnacentral:rRNA from 1 species